GAUGAACGCUGGCGGUAUGCUUAACACAUGCAAGUCGAACGGACUCUUCGGAGUUAGUGGCGGACGGGUGAGUAACGCGUGAGAAUCUGGCUUUGGGUUCGGGACAACCACUGGAAACGGUGGCUAAUACCGGAUGUGCCGAGAGGUAAAAGAGAAAUUGCCUGAAGAUGAGCUCGCGUCUGAUUAGCUAGUUGGUGAGGUAAAGGCUCACCAAGGCAGCGAUCAGUAGCUGGUCUGAGAGGAUGACCAGCCACACUGGGACUGAGACACGGCCCAGACGCCUACGGGAGGCAGCAGUGGAGAAUUUUCCGCAAUGGGCGAAAGCCUGACGGAGCAAUACCGCGUGAGGGAAGAAGGCUCUUGGGUUGUAAACCUCUUUUCUUAGGGAAGAACAAAAUGACGGUACCUAAGGAAUCAGCAUCGGCUAACUCCGUG
rnacentral:rRNA from 1 species